rnacentral:tRNA from 1 species
GGGAUUGUGGCUCAGUAGUAGAGUGCUUGUCUAGCAUGCAUGAAGCCCUGGGUUUGAUUCCUCAGUACCA